GUUCACUCGAUGACCGGAAGCACUCACUGUCACAAGGAUGACCUGGCAAUAAGCACUUGCAGCUGGAAGUACGCUUGCUUUUCCCAAACUGCGCUACCGGACCCGCCACAAUUUCAAUUGCGUAACUCUUCCAAACCGACCAUGACAGAUUUCCUAUACCACAGUGCAUGGAAAGAUGGCGCGCGGAAAGACGGCGCGCCAUCAAUCACGAACCCUCUUGGCUCGCCCCUAUGUACAGAUUUUCCGUGGACGCUGGCGACAAGGCAAAUAAAUGCCUGACAAAGCGCCAGUAUGAAAUGCCUAACAAAGUUACACUUGUAUCAUGGAGAAAGAAAUUCAACGAGAGGGCACACUCGGUGAAAACUGGCAACAAAAAACACGUCACGCGUAGUGUCAGCAACAUCGGUUAGUUGACGCGAGCAUGGGAAAAAAAUAAUGGGAAAUGAACUUACAGACAAUGUUUUAUUUUUUUUUAUUCUUUGCCGGUGAAACUAAAAUGUUUUUCGCGUAAAUGAACUUAUACGUCGCGACUUAUUUUUCUUGCGUCUCCUGGCAACAAGCUAGCGGCACGCCAGACGCGCCAUAUGCAUGCGUCAUUCUCCCGACAUACCACCGAAGCGAGCGAAGCCGGCUGCGCAUGUGAAGCUCGCCUGCUCGGCGACUCGUCUCUUUUGGAUGUAGCCCGUUUGUCGGGCUCCCGGCGUUUUCUUGCCUUCCGUCUGCAUUUGGACGCGGCACUGCUGCACUAGUGGACUACAGCAAGCUGAUGGCAUCCGGUGGAGCUUCGUACGGCAACGACUGCUACUUACCUGGUGCCACAACUUUGGUUGAAUGCACCAGAAGCCCGGAACGAGCAUUUAUAUAGAGCAAAAUAAACAUUUCAUCAUUUCAGAA
rnacentral:lncRNA from 1 species